rnacentral:tRNA from 1 species
GUGGGGUUGUGGCUCAGUGGUAGAGCGCUUGCCUAGCAUGUGUGGGGCACUGGGUUCAAUUCUCAACACCACA